rnacentral:lncRNA from 1 species
GGGCCAAGUUCUGGGAGGUCAUCUGCGACGAGCAUGGAAUUGAUGGCACCGGGAAGUACAACGGCGACUCCGACCUCCAGCUCGAGAGGAUCAAUGUCUACUACAACGAGGCCAGCGGAGGGCGCUACGUUCCCCGCGCCGUGCUCAUGGAUCUGGAGCCCGGGACCAUGGACUCCGUCAGAUCCGGCCCCAUCGGCCAGAUCUUCAGGCCGGACAACUUCGUCUUCGGCCAGUCCGGUGCCGGGAACAACUGGGCCAAGGGGCAUUACACCGAGGGCGCCGAGCUCAUCGACUCGGUCCUCGACGUGGUCAGAAAGGAAGCUGAGAACUGCGACUGCUUGCAGGGUAUAUUCCUUUUUCUUCUUCUUUUCUUUUCAAAUCGGAGUGGUUCUUAGUAGAUCUUGCUUUACUUUGGUAUAAUCUUCUGGUUUCUCAAAAAUGUUGUCCAUUGACUCCAUUCUCUUAUAUCUUUUGUGAGCAUGGACAAUGUUUACUCCUCUCCAGGUUUUUUUAUGGGCUUACAAACAUGUUGCACUGAGACCAUGGUAAAUUAUGAGUUCUUUAAUGAAGUAAUUUAGGGAUAUUAUUUCCUUCUUUUAUAGGCUUAAUGAAUUAAUGACGUGCUUUUGACAGUUUCUAUUGAUGAACAGAAUGUUUUAUCGAGUUAUUUGUUAUCGAAAUAGGCUACAACUUAUCUUGAUUGAUUAUGAUUGGAGUUCUCAAGGGAUUUUGUUCAUUUAGGUUGACAGACAUUGGAAUUUGAUGUAUGAUAAGUUUGUGCAUAUAGUAUGUGAAGCUACUGUAAUAGGGUGUGUUUACGUACGCUACCUGUUAUUAUGUCAAGUGUGUUCACGUUGAUUUUCAUUCUAUUUCUGUUAGCAUGAACUAGAGUUACCUGAUCUUGGCCGAUUCAAGUUAAUGAUCCUCAACUUAAUUUCCUCAUUUAUUGGUUGAGUCCACUGGGUUCUCUAGGUCUUCUCACUUAGUGAAAACUGAAUUUUCAUCAAAAAAUGCUUGGUCGGACUGAAAUUUCAUGUAUACAAGUGGAGUUACUAUUUAUCUGUUCCAUAUGUGAAACAAUAUUAUUACUGACACCUGGUAAUUUGCUUCUAAAUUUGUUCAAUUUCAGAUCCAUUAAAGAUAAAUUAAAAUUUCAUUCUGUCAUAUUUGUGAUUGGCAAACUUGCACCUUUCAGUCGAAAUGUACAUAAUGGACAAUUUCUCCUGGAUGCUUGCUGGUAAAUUUUGACUUUUAGUCUCCUUAGCAAUAGUAGAAAGAUGACAAAGGGUUUCCAGAUUUUGCUGAUCAUGAUGGUGAGAACAUGAUCUCCCCUUAUUGAGAGUUAGUUGAUACCAGCUUAAGAAAAAUUAUCACCUUGGUCUCUCUAUCUGACAAGGUCUGACAUUUGUUUACAUGCAUAUGUCAAAUCUUCUACGGCUUUGCCCUUUCUCUUUUAUGUGGCAUUUUAUGUCCUUGAUGCUGUAAGCAAAUUUGCAAGUUCGUCAUUAGAAUUUUUAACUGUUUUGAUGUUCUGCAGGCUUCCAGGUUUGCCAUUCUUUGGGGGGAGGAACUGGAUCUGGCAUGGGCACCCUUCUUAUCUCUAAGAUCAGGGAGGAGUACCCGGAUAGAAUGAUGCUUACCUUCUCUGUUUUCCCAUCACCAAAGGUGUCUGAUACAGUUGUGGAGCCAUACAAUGCUACCCUCUCUGUUCAUCAACUCGUUGAGAAUGCUGAUGAGUGUAUGGUCCUUGACAAUGAAGCGCUGUAUGAUAUCUGCUUCCGCACUCUGAAGCUUGCAAAUCCCACUUGUGAGUACUGCUUGUGUUUUCAUGAAUUCUUUUCGAUGCUACUUGAAAUUGUGAUCUUUUGUUUACUAAUUCUCUAAAUGUAGAAGAUGCUGACACUCUGAUCUUCUUCUUUUCUUCAUACUAAUAUCAAGCAUGUAAGGUCUUGCUUUAAACCAUGGUGGUUAUAAAAGCUAGUACCAUAGAGUCGCCAUAUCCUUUCUGGUCGAUACAUUUUUUUUCCUCCUUUUUCUGCGCCUUUCCAUGAUCGAUCAAUCAAUUUGUGCUUCGAUAUGUCUUUUUAUUUUGUUCAUUUAAAAGUUCAGAAUCCGUAUGUAAAGGGCAGUUAAACUUUUCAGUUAAUCUUGACCUCUUAAAGUUUAAGGUCUUGUUCCAAAUUGCACUGUUGCUAAAAGUUUUUUCUUUGAUGUUGCAGUUGGCGAUCUUAAUCACCUGAUCUCUGCCACAAUGAGUGGUGUCACAUGCUGCCUUCGGUUUCCUGGACAGCUUAAUUCCGACCUCCGGAAGCUUGCCGUGAACCUCAUCCCUUUCCCCCGCCUCCACUUCUUUAUGGUGGGGUUUGCACCCUUGACCUCGAGGGGCUCGCAGCAAUAUAGGGCCCUCACAGUUCCUGAAUUGACCCAACAAAUGUGGGAUGCCAAGAACAUGAUGUGCGCUGCUGACCCUCGUCAUGGCCGGUACCUGACAGCCUCAGCCAUGUUCCGUGGGAAGAUGAGCACAAAGGAAGUGGAUGAGCAGAUGCUGAAUGUUCAGAACAAGAACUCUUCCUACUUCGUGGAGUGGAUACCAAACAACGUCAAGUCUAGCGUGUGUGACAUUCCGCCCAAGGGGCUAAAGAUGGCUUCCACAUUCAUCGGGAACUCAACUUCCAUUCAAGAGAUGUUCAGGAGGGUGAGCGAGCAGUUCACAGCCAUGUUCAGGAGGAAGGCUUUCUUACACUGGUACACCGGAGAGGGCAUGGACGAGAUGGAAUUUACCGAGGCUGAGAGCAACAUGAACGAUCUGGUGGCCGAGUACCAGCAGUACCAAGAUGCAACGGCAGAUGAGGAAGAAUACGAGGAAGAAGACGAAGAGGCAGAGUGAUUCAUUUC